CGGAAAUGGAGGGCGGAAGGUGUGAUCUGUGGGACUGUCUGGGCCUGUUACCCAUCCUGCUAUCGAUUUCUUAUUAAUUAAUCUUGAUGAUUCUUAUUAAUUAAUCACAUUUUCAGGAAAUUCAGAUGAGGCAAGAAAAUUUUAUUGGCCUGGGUAAGCCUGAAAGCAUUCCAAAUUAGGCUUAGACUGUGCAAAGGGCUUAGCUAAGUUAUCGAGCUUAAAGCCCAUCAAUUAAACAAACAUUAUUUGAACAGUUACUGCAUGCCAUGCACUGUGUUGGGCUUAGUAAUAAAAAAGAAAAGAAAAGAAAAGAUAAGGUGCUCAUUCUAGUAUAAAUUAAAAGGUCCAAGGGAAUUUAAUCUGGAAGAAAACAUAUGCCAAUUUUCAAACUAUGACAGCGUUUUUUUUUCUCUUUCCAUUGAAACAGUCCUAGUUCAUUCCCAGAAGGGCACAAAAUGAAUGAAUAAAUAAA